rnacentral:lncRNA from 1 species
GUUGCAUCUACAGCACCAACUACCUGGGCAGAGAAGCAGAGCCGGCUCUGUGUGCUUCAAGAAGUUUCUGAAGAUCCCCAGGUUGCUGUGACUAUAAAGAGAUCAUGGCUGCUGUGAUGUCUGUAGCAUGUCCAUCAGGAUCAAUGCGCAGUGAAACUGGACUGUUCAUCUGAAUGACGUCAGACAUCUGGAGGCAAAGGCGGGAAACAGACAUUGUCAGAUAGCCGAUGGGUUCCUUGGAAGCACUGGGACAUCAGAACACCUUUUGGGGCUCCGAGCUGCAGCGUCUUUCAGGCAGGAGGUAUUUCAUCUUCACAACAUCUGGAACUGUCAGAGAGGUAACGCCGCAGACCCCAGCAGAUGCCGCUCCUCUACAUGAAAGUGCACCCACAAAUCACGGCCGGGAUCGCACAACAACACAAGUGUUCCGCAGGCGGCGACGGGGAGAAGGACGCCCGGGGAAGGCAGGAGAGCUGACGGUAACCCCUGCCCCCCGCCACUUCUAUGGCGGCAUCAACCCCUUGAAACAACUGCCGUGUGACUCCCCACCAUGGGGCUCACAACCGCCAGCAAGCUUGGAUGAGAAAGGGCUGCUUCCUCCCCCCCUUCUGGGGUACAGGCUCAAACACAUUUUAAAAACCUGUGGCUCAGUGCAUCGCUUGAAAUUUUGGUGCAGCUGCGUGCCAGAGCACUGUGGGAGAAAUAAAAGAUGAUGUCACAGAGGAUUAUCCAGUGUCACUGAAAGACAGAUUUGGUAAG